GGACCUUCUCGCCUUAAGGGCGCUCAGCACUUUUGACAACAUAGAUUAAAUCAGUAUAAGUGCAACAAGGAACCAUAUAAGAGUAGGUACAAAUUUCUCACAACACCACAAACAGGUACAUCACCAAAGAACCUUAGCUUCCUUCUUUAUUUUUCCCCAUAAGCCCUUAAGAUGAAUCACCAAAAUUCCCAUAUAACUAUUCACCAGCUCUAGAAAAAGGCCUAAUCCAUAUGUCACACAUAAUUUACUUGACUAAAUAUAUUCAUUAUUCAAAAUUGAUCAAAAUCUAAAAUAUGGAUGGCUUCUAUUUUUUGGAUAAAGAAAGACAACUUUGUAGCUCAUAAGAAAUCAUUGUAUUUUAUAACCAAAGAAAAUUUAUACACAUAAAAUCUAGAUAAUAACUUUAUACUAAUGCACUACCAUGUUUUGAGCUUUAUAUUUUGAAGUUUCAAAGUUUUGAAUUUAGUUCUUGAAUUAAACUGAUAAACUUCAUUCCAAGCAUCAACCUUAAACCUCAGCAUGGUAGCUUGUCACACACUAGCUCAAGUUGAGCUAGCCCUUAUAAACACAAGUCAAGUUCACUUCAAACCUAUUUUCAGUCCAACACUAUGAAAAAGGCAUGUCCAAACACUUCGGUUGCAUCUGCUUUUACAAACAUAUGCAAAAGCCUCCCAACUCCACAUAGUCUUCCUCAGUCCACCCUCAUAACAUCUAAAUGUCAGGGUAGCAUAAUCUCUCCCCUCCACAUUGAGCAUACUCUAAAGACAGUCAAACAAAUAUCCACAAAGGCUAUUCCUAUCAAUCAAGUAGCCCCUCAUUGCUUGUCAAAUGGUAUCGAGUUUAAUCCUCCAUAAGAUACCUACUUGAUACCACCAUAAAUGAAGAUGAAUAUAUGUAGGAAUUGUGAAAAUCAUAUAGAGCUAUGCUGCUAGAUGAUAUUGAUAAUCAAGAAUUCACAUUUCAUGAGUAGUGAGUUGAUUCUUUUCAGAUGAACCCUAACUUGGGAAUAACACAAGCAAAUCCUAGGACAGGAAAGUAAAUUCAUGAAUACACAGACAUUGAUGCAAUGUUUAUACAAUGAAUUAAAAAACAAGGCAUAUCUAUAAACAGAUUAAGCACUGCCCACUGAAGGCGUUCCAAAGAUCAUCACAGAUACAAGGUAUGUUCAUGUAUAGCUAUUAAAAAAGAUAGAAGAAGGAGUAGAAAAGGAAAGAUAGAAACUUGCAUUCACAUAAUAAAAAAUGAAUAAAACAAAUCAUAGCACAAAAACAGCAAGAAACAUAAUUUUUAACCUCAUUUGGAUCGAAAUAAGUUC
rnacentral:misc_RNA from 1 species